GGUUGAAAAACACUACAGAAAAUCUCAUAGAAACAUAGCAUUCUCUCAGAAUUUCUUACAGAAGCGACUUCAUCUCUCAGAAUUUCCUACAGAGGAUACAGCUUCGUAUACAUAUUCUCACAGGCACAUCAAUGAGAAAAUAUCCUGUGGGGUAAUUCAGGGUCUGGCCUUGCGAUUUCUAUGAGAAAACAAUUCAAACAUGACUGACUUUCUCACGAACCUCGCUUCAGUCUUAUGAGAAACUUAGAAGGAUAUUUCCCUGUCGAAUGAACAUAAAGCAAGAAAUGACGGGCCACAGAGAGUGAUAUGUCGUCCGUGUUGGAAAGUAGUUCGUGCGAUUUCGUGUGUUUGUGAAUAAUCCCUGUUAGGUAGAAGUGCCAUGGUUGCUCCGUUUUGUCGUUCCUAGUGAAACUAUCAAUUUUAUAACCCAUUAUGAUAUUCCAUCGUACAUUAGUGGAGGCGUUUGUUCCAACCGCCAGCAAGCUAGUUAGUCUGCUUUGAAACGAGGAAGCGCAUGGACGUAGCUACGCAUCUCAUGCAAAUACCGCCUGACAUUCAGGAUUUUCAGGAUUUCAUGCAUUUGAGGUAUUGUGUGGGUCGGAAGGUAGAAUGCUGUGAGAUCGUUAUAGCAACUGUGCUUUGGGCAAACGGUUAAACUCGUAAGAAGCGGCAAGCACGCAUCCGAUGUGAGAUCGUGGUCGUAACUCAUUCUCGCAAGAAAUCCAACGCGUUCCCAAGGUGCAAAACAUGAACUUGGCAUAGUCACAUGAAGAAAUUUUUUUGGUCGUCGCAUUAGAGAUUUCAAGUAUGUGUACAAUGCAUUGAACGCUUUUACGGCGGUG